CUUGUAUUUCUUUUUUUUUUUUCCUGGAAAUUAUCUCUACAUGUCUUUUUAAAAUUCCCUUUUCUGUUGUAUGUCUUUUCCUUACUACUUUGCAAAAUUCAUUUUUCACGUUGGUAUCCAUCCAACCCACAGGAGGAAAACACUGCCAAAGUCCAAAGAAGAGCUUGGGAGGAUGGAGAGCAAAAUGCCCCAAGGCUACUGCCGCAGCCCUCCUUCUGCCCUGUGGUGGGCUCCAUUCUGCCAUCCUCUGCAGACCAGAGGCCUUACCUGCUGCUCCCAGGUUAAAGGCCUAUUGAAAGUGAAGUGAAGACAUCCUUCGUGGUCCAGUGGUUAAGAAUCCACCUUCCAGUUCAGGGGAGGAGGGUGGUUCCAUCCCUGGCCUGGAAACUAAGAUCCCACAUGCCCUGGAGGCAACUAAGACCACCCACCUCUACUACUGAGCCCCUGAACCACAACUAGACAGAAGGCUGGGUACCCCAGCAAAGAUCCCCUGAACUGCCACUAACCCAAUAGCAGCUGAA
rnacentral:lncRNA from 1 species